rnacentral:rRNA from 1 species
GAUGAACGCUGGCGGCGUGCCUAAUACAUGCAAGUCGAGCGAACGGACGAGAAGCUUGCUUUUCUGAUGUUAGCGGCGGACGGGUGAGUAACACGUGGAUAACCUACCUAUAAGACUGGGAUAACUUCGGGAAACCGGAGCUAAUACCGGAUAAUAUUUUGAACCGCAUGGUUCAAAAGCGAAAGACGGUCUUGCUGUCACUUAUAGAUGGAUCCGCGCUGCAUUAGCUAGUUGGUAAGGUAACGGCUUACCAAGGCAACGAUGCAUAGCCGACCUGAGAGGGUGAUCGGCCACACUGGAACUGAGACACGGUCCAGACUCCUACGGGAGGCAGCAGUAGGGAAUCUUCCGCAAUGGGCGAAAGCCUGACGGAGCAACGCCGCGUGAGUGAUGAAGGUCUUCGGAUCGUAAAACUCUGUUAUUAGGGAAGAACAUAUGUGUAAGUAACUGUGCACAUCUUGACGGUACCUAAUCAGAAAGCCACGGCUAACUACGUG